GCAAGUCGAGCGAGACACUUUCCUUCGGGAGAGCGGAAAGCGGCGCACGGGUGAGUAACGCGUACGCAAUCUACACCUCAGAGUGGGAUAGCCCCGGGAAACUGGGAUUAAUACCACAUAGACUGAGUUAUCGCAUCGUAACUUUAGUAAAGUUCCGGCGCUGAGGGAUGAGCGUGCGUGCUAUUAGUUAGUUGGUGAGGUAACGGCUCACCAAGACGAUGAUAGCUAGGUGGCGUGAGAGCGUGAUC
rnacentral:rRNA from 1 species